UACGGAGGGAGCUAGCGUUGUUCGGAAUUACUGGGCGUAAAGCGUACGUAGGCGGUUAUUCAAGUCAGAGGUGAAAGCCCGGGGCUCAACCCCGGAACGCCCUUUGAAACUAGGUAGCUAGAGUCUUGGAGAGGUUAGUGGAAUUCCGAGUGUAGAGGUGAAAUUCGUAGAUAUUCGGAAGAACACCAGUGGCGAAGGCGACUAACUGGACAAGUACUGACGCUGAGGUACGAAAGCGUGGGGAGCAAACAGG
rnacentral:rRNA from 1 species